ACACGGGGGGGGCUAGCGUUGUUCGGAAUCACUGGGCGUAAAGGGUCCGUAGGCGGCCGCGUAAGUCGGAGGUGAAAGCCCUGGGCUUAACCCAGGAAUUGCCUUCGAAACUGCAUGGCUAGAGUCCGGUAGAGGGAGACGGAAUUCCCGGUGUAGCGGUGAAAUGCGUAGAUAUCGGGAGGAACAUCUGUGGCGAAGGCGGUCUCCUGGGCCGGUACUGACGCUGAGGGACGAAAGCGUGGGGAGCAAACAGGAUUAGAAACCCCAGUAGUCC
rnacentral:rRNA from 1 species